UACGGAGGGGGCUAGCGUUGUCCGGAAUUAUUGGGCGUAAAGAGCUCGUAGGCGGUCUGUCGCGUCGGAUGUGAAAACCCAGGGCUCAACCCUGGGCCUGCAUUCGAUACGGGCAGACUAGAAUUCGGUAGGGGAGUCUGGAAUUCCCGGUGUAGAGGUGAAAUUCGUAGAUAUCGGGAGGAACACCAGUGGCGAAGGCGGCGAUCUGGGAAGAUACUGACGCUGAGGUGCGAAAGCGUGGGGAGCAAACAGG
rnacentral:rRNA from 1 species